rnacentral:piRNA from 1 species
UGAACAGGGCACCCAGGAGUUUUCAUCUCUA